AUCAAAUCUUCCUCACCGGAUAGCAAAAUGGCCACAAAACUACCCCUUCGAGAGGAAUGUGAGAAUUGGACAACUCUUCAAGUUGCAGAUCUCCUAAGACAGAUUCGAAUGCCUGAAUCUGCAGCAGUAGUGGAAAAAUUGGACAUUAAUGGAGCUAAAUUUUUGACUAUAUCAGAUUAUGAAUUGAACAAAUUCAAUAUAAUGCACCAGCCGUAAGUCUCUUGUUCCUUUCUGCUUCCCC